AUUGAACGCUGGCGGCAUGCCUUACACAUGCAAGUCGAACGGUAACAGGUCUUCGGAUGCUGACGAGUGGCGAACGGGUGAGUAAUACAUCGGAACGUGCCUAGUAGUGGGGAUAACUACUCGAAAGAGUGGCUAAUACCGCAUGAGAUCUAAGGAUGAAAGCAGGGGAACGCAAGACCUUGUGCUACUAGAGCGGCCGAAGGCAGAGUAGGUAGGUGGGGGGGUAAAAGAUUACCCAGCCGACGAUCUGUAGCUGGUCUGAGAGGACGAGCCGCCACACUGGGACUGAGACACGGCCCAGACUCCUACGGGAGGCAGCAGUGGGGAAUUUUGGACAAUGGGCGCAAGCCUGAUCCAGCAAUGCCGCGUGCAGGAUGAAGGCCUUCGGGUUGUAAACUGCUUUUGUACGGAACGAAAAGCCCUGGGUUAAUACCCUGGGGUCAUGACGGUACCGUAAGAAUAAGCACCGGCUAACUACGUGCCAGCCGCCGCAGUAAAAC
rnacentral:rRNA from 1 species